AGUUCUGAGUGUCUGCACCAUGGCCCGGACUCCACUCUUUCUCCUCUCCUUCCUCCUUCACUGCAUAGGGUCCCUCUCUCAGCCUGCUCUGACUCAAGAAUCUUCUGCAUCUGCCUCCCUGAAAACCUCAGUAAAGCUCACCUGUACGCUGAGCAGUGGCUACAGUGGCUACAUUGUGGAAUGGUACCAGCAGAGCCAAGGAAAAAGCCCCCGGUUUGUGAUGCGUGUGGAUCACGAUGGUCAAGUUGGAUCCAAGGGAGACGGGAUCCCUGAUCGCUUCUCAGUAUCAGGUUCUGGCCUGGAUCGGUUCCUGACCAUCCAGAACAUCCAAGCAGAAGAUGAGGCUGACUACAUCUGUGGGGUUGGGCAUAGUACUGGGAGCAGCUACGUGUAA